UUGAGGCAAGGUUUAAAAUUGACUAUAAACAGGGUUAGUCACGGUUUAAUUUUAAAAAGGUUUUAAACUGUAAACAUGAGUUAACCCUGUUUCAGCAAUUUUAACUCCUUUUUUUAGUGAAGGAUUUCACUAUUAACCUUAACACAUCAGUUUAAAUCUUGCGCAAGGUUUGAAUGGUUUUAAAUUUCUAUCAUGGCGAGAUUCUUAAUGCAUUUAAGGGUUUCUCGUGUAAACUUGUCAAGUGGAAUCAGUAAGAGAAAAAUGGUGUUUAGUGUUCAGUGUGCCUCAAAGAAUGGAGGCAUUCGCGUUGACAUUUCGGGGAUUGGGGCUCAAUAUGAACCCCCAGUGACCACCCAGGGACAUAUCAGCGACAUAGAAGAGUGAAUUGUGAAAAGUUCUGUGAUGUCGGAACUCCAGAUUUGCAGAAGUUCGAACGAGAGGAUCAUACUGAAACAUGGAAAUUCUACCUAAAAUUUCAAGAGGAGAGAGCAGAAACACGCCAGGGAGCAGUGGAAAGUGCAAAAUAAAAUAAUUGCCACCGUCCUGCUUACACAUCCUUUGAAGUGGUGCAGGCUGAAGCAGGAUUGAUUAAUUUCAGGAAUUACGUAGGUUUCAGAAACCAAAAAAUAUGCCCUCUUUAAUUUUUUUAAAAUAUUAAUAAAGAAUAUAUCUUCAAAUCCAACUCUGAAACAUAAAAGUACAACAUUAGAACAAUAUUUUCUAAAAUUUUCAUUUACAAAUUUUAAAAGGCUGAUCUUUUAAAAUGAUUUUCGGAGACAUAACUCACAUAAUUUUUCUCUGAAAUCAGAAAACUAAAUAUUUGCUAUUAGCAGUUGAGUAAAAGUUAUAUUUCAACGAAAGUUUAAAAACAUGAAAUUUGUUUUCAAUAGCAUUUUUUACAAGAAAAAAUGGCGUAUAUUACACUACAUUUCGCCGUGCAAAAUAAGGUAUGACCAAGGAAAAAAAACAAAUCCUUGUUUAAGUUUUAAACAAUCAACUCUAGAAGUAUGCAAAUUUUCGAUGAAAUUGAUGCAUUAGUUUUCGAAAAAUUUGGCAUAUAAAUCUCACAAAUUGAGAUUUUAAAAAGAGCUUUUACAGUUGAUGCUUCUCAAUUGGCUUUAAAUAAAUUUGUAAAGGCUCUAUCCUAAAGUUUCUCACUGGGUUGAAGCUUUUAGAUGAGAAAAUAUUCUUCACAUGUUGUACUUUGUUAUCAAAGAAUCUGUAUAUAUAUUUUUUUUAAAGUUGCAAUACUACAAAAAAUUUCUACUAGGGUGUAUACGCCAUGCUGGCGUAUACACACUAGUAGAAUUUUUUUUAAAAAUGCCUUUUUAAAGCAAAUUUCCCAUAUCCUUGUAGGUAGAAACGUCAGAAUUUUUUAAAAAAGGCAUUUAAAAAAAAUUCUACUAGUGUGUAGACGCCAUAAAGCUGUAAGGUAAUCUAGAUAUAUUGAUUUAUUUUUCAUUGAGAUAAGAUUAAAUAUUGAAAAAAAAUAUAUAUAAGUAAACAAAUACUGUCAAUUUUUCUUGAUGGAUUUUCCUAAGUUUUUGCUUAAUUAUUUUGAAAAUAACUUUUCUCAUGCUGUUGUAAAAUUUACUCCCUAGUUUUUGCUAAUAUUGUUUAAAAAAGCUUUAAAUAACAGAUAUUUUUACGAUACCUUAAAAAAAUAAUAAUAUAAUAAAGUUUAAAGUAAUGAAAUAACUAGGAGUUAUAAAUUCUUAUAUUUGUGUUAAAUUGUAAUUAUUUAAUAGUAAAAUAAGGAAUUAUAAUGAUGUAUUGUUAGAAAAACAAGUACGAUUUUAUUGUAAUAAAUUCUAAAUGUUUACUUAACC